GUUUACGGCCAUACCACCCUGAACGUGCCCGAUCUCGUCUGAUCUGGGAAGCUAAGCAGGGUCGGGCCUGGCUAGUAUUUGAUGUGAGGUGCAGAUCUUUGUCAACC
rnacentral:rRNA from 1 species